UUCCCACUUUACCAAAACCAACAUUGCCUUCAAUUCCAACAACAUUGCCACCAUUGCCUUCUAUUCCAACGUUGCCUUCAGUCCCAACAACAUUGCCACCUUUGCCUUCAAUGCCAACAUUGCCUCAACCUCAAGGUAAUGUUCCUCCAUUGCCUACCAUCCCUUCAGUGCCUAAGCUCACUAUGCCACCACUUCCUAGCAUUCCAACCAAUCCAACACUUCCAUCUCUCAA
rnacentral:lncRNA from 1 species